rnacentral:guide_RNA from 1 species
AAAACGAAGGCAAACUGAUAACAUGAGAGUAGAUGUAAAUG